rnacentral:rRNA from 1 species
GUCUACAGCCAUGCCACCCUGAACAUGCCCAAUCUCGUCUGAUAUUGGGAGCUAAUCAGGGUCGGGCCUGGUUAGUACUUGGAUGGGAGACCACCUAGGAAAACCAGGUGCUGUAGGCU